ACUGGAAAGGCGGACGGCAGUAG
rnacentral:piRNA from 1 species